rnacentral:rRNA from 1 species
AGUUGGUGGAGUGAUUUGUCUGGUUAAUUCCGUUAACGAACGAGACCUUAACCUGCUAAAUAGUUACGCAAGCCUUCACAAUCCAGUCGUAGGGGGAAACCUUGAAAGCUGGACGGUUGGCUUUGUGGCUAACUUCUUAGAGGGACUAUUCGUUUCCAGCGAAUGGAAGUUUGAGGCAAUAACAGGUC